UGGGGUUUUAUACCCACGAAAGCUUAUGCCCAAAUACAUCUGUUAGUCUUUAAGGUGCCACCAGACUCCUCGUUGUCCUAGUAGUGAAUGUUUUUGUUAACAGUUUUGAGAGCCACCCAGUGCACAUCCAACAUGAAAGAGUCUGAGCAACCUUAGAGAAAUCUGAGCAACGCCCACUAACUUCAAUGGGAAAUGUGUCUAAGCACCAAGAAGCAUGAGGCCCAAGGGCUUUUAGUUUUCCUUAGAAAAAAAAAUUUAAAAGAAGACGUCCUCUGAGCAAUUGUUUGAAUGUGUAUUAUAUUGCACAAUCUCACCCUUAGUUAUUGCCCCCUUAAUCAGUCUUCUGCUGCACCCAGGUGUUCUUUUCUGAAAAAUAAACUAUUUUUCUACUUCUUACAUUUUCAGUCCACCGUUAAAAUACUCAGAGGGACAGAUUGUUGUCAGCCUUACUCACAGUGUAGUAUCUUUCUCCGUAAGAAGUCCCAUUGGAAUCAGAGGGCUCUCUAAUGAAGCAAAACCGGACAUAAGCAACCACCCAAGAGACCAGCAAAAAAGCAGUUGUCUAGUUGAAGUUGGCCUUUAUUAAAGGUUAGAUAAAGACGCAACCUUGAGAUCUCAGCUGUCCGUGUUAUCACCGGUUGAGAGACUGCAAAAACUCUGGAAGAGAUCGCGAAAAAGCGAAGAAGACAUGCUGCACGAAGUGAUGCAUCAAUCUCUUACAGAGAAUCAAAAAGCACAGGAGUGGAGGGAGAGCGAAAGCAGGAUCCACAAGGAAAAUGCAGCGCACUGGAAGCAAAGCACGGAUCGGCUGAUAAGCAUCAUGGAGCGCCAAGCAGACUCUAUCCAGGCGCUCAUAGCCAUGCAGGCGGAGCACUACCGCGCCCGCCCCCCCUGCAACCCUUGUCCCAAAACUCUUUCCCUUGUGCCCCCAUGUCACCUCCAACCCAUUUUCUCCAACAUCUGAGUUCUUACCGCCACCAGCUGCCUCCAACACCCUUCACCAACCAGACCUGAGAACUACGACCCUUACCCUCUGCACUCAAUCCCCAUCACCAUGCAGUAUAGCCAUCCUGAAGUGCAGCACUCACUGCACAGCACAAAUCUAUGAUUGUACCGUUCCCCACCCCACGUCCUUGCCC